rnacentral:rRNA from 1 species
AAUAGAUACCCGGGUAGUCCACGCCGUAAACGAUGAGUGCUAAGUGUUAGAGGGUUUCCGCCCUUUAGUGCUGCAGCAAACGCAUUAAGCACUCCGCCUGGGGAGUACGGUCGCAAGACUGAAACUCAAAGGAAUUGACGGGGGCCCGCACAAGCGGUGGAGCAUGUGGUUUAAUUCGAAGCAACGCGAAGAACCUUACCAGGUCUUGACAUCCUUCGCUACUUCUAGAGAUAGAAGGUUCCCCUUCGGGGGACGGAGUGACAGGUGGUGCAUGGUUGUCGUCAGCUCGUGUCGUGAGAUGUUGGGUUAAGUCCCGCAACGAGCGCAACCCUUGACCUUAGUUGCCAGCAUUCAGUUGGGCACUCUAAGGUGACUGCCGGUGAUAAACCGGAGGAAGGUGGGGAUGACGUCAAAUCAUCAUGCCCCUUAUGACCUGGGCUACACACGUGCUACAAUGGAUGGUACAAAGGGCUGCAAGACUGCGAAGUCAAGCCAAUCCCAUAAAACCAUUCUCAGCUCGGAUUGCAGG